rnacentral:rRNA from 1 species
AUAAGCACCGGCUAACUCCGUGCCAGCAGCCGCGGUAAUACGGAGGGUGCAAGCGUUGUCCGGAUUUAUUGGGUUUAAAGGGUGCGUAGGCGGGUUUUUAAGUCCGUGGUGAAAGCCCACAGCUCAACUGUGAAACUGCCAUUGAUACUGAAGACCUUGAAUAUCGUUGAGGUAGGCGGAAUUUAUGGUGUAACGGUGAAAUGCAUAAAUACCAAAAAGAACCCCGAUUGCGUAAGCAGCUUACUAAACCAUAACUGACGCUGAAGCACCAAAGCCUGGGGAACGAACAAGAUUAAAUACCCUGGUAGAAGCACGAAA